CGACCUGAACUCAGCGUGAACACCCGCUGAACUUAAGCAUAUCAUUUAGCGGAGGA
rnacentral:rRNA from 1 species